rfam:Gossypium raimondii chromosome 13, whole genome shotgun sequence.
AUUCCAUGAUGAGGGCACUUUCGUAAUAACUCUCUGUACCUUUCCGAUGCCUCAUACAGGGACUCAUCAUCCAUUUGUUGGAAGGCAUAGAUCUCAUUCCUCAACUU